GCUCCUCCGAUCUGCGAGAUAUAGGCACUAUUAAUCAAAAACUUUGGUUUGGUAACCAAAGAAUACUGCUGAGCUUGUGUAAACUACAAUUUAGUUUGACCAGACCUAACUGUAGUAAACAACGUCUAAACGUCUCUCUUUAGCACCCCUGUCUGGUGGAACGUUUGGCUGGGUUUGCCAAAACGGUCCCAG